rnacentral:rRNA from 1 species
ACGGAAGGCAGCAGUGGGGAAUAUCGGGCAAUGGGCGAAAGCCUGACCCAGCAACGCCGCGUGAAGGAAGAAGGUUUUCGGAUUGUAAACUUCUUUUAUCAGGGACGAAGAAAGUGACGGUACCUGAUGAAUAAGCCACGGCUAACUACGUGCCAGCAGCCGCGAUAAUACGUAGGUGGCAAGCGUUAUCCGGAUUUAUUGGGUGUAAAGGGCGCGUAGGCGGGGAUGCAAGUCAGGUGUGAAAUCUAUGGGCUUAACCCAUAAACUGCAUUUGAAACUGUAUCUCUUGAGUGUCGGAGAGGUAGACGGAAUUCCUAGUGUAGCGGUGAAAUGCGUAGAUAUUAGGAGGAACACCAGUGGCGAAGGCGGUCUACUGGACGAUAACUGACGCUGAGGCGCGAAAGCGUGGGGAGCAAACAGGAUUAGAUACCCUGGUA